CAAUGGGUACUUCAAUCCAAUACAAAAGGUUCAUUUGUAUUGAGUGUCUAAAUCUCCAUACUGGAGUUCUUUUUCUGCAAAGUCAAAAAAUGGACAGCAGUAGUGCAAAGGAAAGCUGUAUUUUGCGUAUGGCUGCUAUAAGAGCUAAAAGAUCAGCUCCAAUGGUCGUUGAGCAUACACUGCCUAUUAUUCAUAAUUCCACAGCCCCAAUAUUGGAUCAAUCUGCUAUAAUUGAUGAGAAUCAUCCUGCUCCAAGGCAUACAAAGAAGUUAAAGACCAGUCGUUUUGAGUCACAAGUUCAAGACCUCCCAACUACAUUGACUUCUAAUGGAAGAACUCCAUUAUUUCAUUUGCAGCAACGUGCUAUCUUUUUCACUUAUAAUUUUUAAAUAUUAGAUUAGAUAAUACUUAUUCAUUCUACCAAUAUUUAAUUUUGAAUUUUUUUGUUGGACAUGCAAGCUCAAGCUUGGGAUAUGUAUCUUCUCCUCAAGCGGCGAAAGAAUCAUUGGAGCUCUAUAUACUUUUCAGAUGAGUCAUUAAUCACAUGUGGUGGCUUCUUCAUCAACAUGACUCUUUACGGUUUACACUACUCAUUGACUCAUUGACCACAUUUUAUCACAUAUGGUGACUUCCCCCCAAAGAGCUUUUUUCAAAAAAAAAAGUUUCGGAGGUUGAGUAUGUAGGCAUUGGUGGUGGCUAUUGCCCAGACAAUUUUUCCCAACAUUCUUUGGCGAAACUCUAUUUUCUGGUUGUAUCAAGAGAUCAUAUGGAGCCAUGUUUCUAGAUGAAUAUUGUAGAUUAGAGAAUCCAUUUUAGUUUGAGGUUUAAACGUGACUUUUUUCCGAACUACCCUAUGUUUUAAAUGUAUUAAACUAUGUACAUAAAGAGAGUCAGAAAGAAGGCACAAGGAGGUAUAGCUCUGAAUAAAUGUCCACUUAUCUUGGUUUUCUGCUAUAUUAUUGAAUAAUUAUAAUAAAGGUGUUACAAUUAUGAUGCCAAGAGGGUAUA